GGCUGCUCCCCUUGUACACAGAGGCCACCGCCGCGCCGGAGGGCGCUGCCUUGGGCCGAUGGGAGCCCCGCCGCCACACCUCGCAUCCGGCAGCAGCCGUCGUGCAUCUGUGCUACUGCACGUAGACACGUAGUAACGUAGCACUACCGCGUCUUGCAGCCGGCGGCCGCAAGACCCGUUGAUGUGCCACAUCCAGUCGAGCGCCCCGCGCCAUGCCGAUGACACCACGCCGCCACACGCUGCGUUGAGGGUCUGCAUCACUGGUGUGCCGGGUCGACGAUGCCACCAUGCAGGAGUCGAGUCUGCGACGGGACUGAAGGCCACAAAGUACUUGAACCGAUGGAGGAUUGGAGAUUGAUGCCCCUUUGUCCGUUCGCCGAUUUGGGAGUCGACGAGGUCAAGCUGGACGCUCGCGUUGAAGCCGUGCCGCCGUUGAGUAGGAGGGGCCGUCGAGCCACAGGACGUCGAUGUUGCGAUAGCCAUGUGCCUCGUGGUCGUCGUUUCUCGCUGACGUUCGCCUGCCUCAUCACGCCACCGCGGAUGGCUACCCUGCCGCAGGCCGGCUGACGGGGUUAUAGUCCUAGGGUAGGGUCAUAGGCCUGCCCUAUAAGUCCUACCCAAGGACUACCCCUCAUAAGGGACAAGACCCUUAGUCAGUUUCGACUGAAUUAAGGAGUCCCCAUCGUCCAGUCGGCAACGGGUCCUCGACCAUUCAAUCGGAGACUAGUAUUCGGAGAACAUCCAACUAACCGACUGACUGCCACUCGGAACAUCGUAACCCCUCUGGAGGGAAUCGGUCGUACGUUUCCCUGUACAUUUAUUAGCAUUUAGGACGUAUGUUACUGAUAACGUACGUAUUCAAUCGCCACUACUCUACCUCUGUACCGAAACCGUUGUGGAGGACAGCGCACUCUAUAUAAGCCACCCUCCCCCUCUGGUGCAGGGGUUAGCAACUCAUUUGUAUUCCAUAUUCCAUUCGACAACAAGCUCCUAGAGCACUGAGACGUAGGACUAUUACCUCCACCGAAGAGGGGCCUGAACUCA